GCUGGGCAUGGUGGCGCAUGCCUGUAAUCCCAGCUACUGGGUAGGCCGAGGCAGGAAAAUCGCUUGAACCCAGGAGGCAGAGAUUGCAGUGAGCCUAGAUCCCGCCACUGUAUUCUAGCCUGGAUGACAGAGCGAGACCCUGUCUCAA
ensembl:misc_RNA Metazoa_SRP Metazoan signal recognition particle RNA